rnacentral:misc_RNA from 1 species
UUUUGUCCUUAACUUUCUUGUUGAAACUAUAUUGAGGAAUCUUUAAUCAAAAUGACAACGUUUGACACAAGCGGCCUGUCUUUAUUAGGGACGACAAUUGUGAUCACUGAAUUACUUUCAACACUGUCUGCAAAAGACUGUAACAGGUUUAAUGGAACUUGCUGCUACAAUGAAUAUUUCGACUCAAGCACUGGAAAAUGUUUAAUUUGCUCACAUGGAAGAUUUGGUACAAAUUGUCAUUCAUCUUGUAAAAAAGGAUUCUACGGUCAUCUCUGUUCAAAACCUUGUGGAUGUGAGGCUCACAUGUGUAAUGAACAUACUGGCUGUACGACUCAACAGAAUGAGACGUCACACGAGAAAGAUCAAAAUUGGCUGGUAGUAAGCCUCAGUAUCUUGGUGCUCAUUGUAGUCAGCGUCCUUUGUGCAGUAAUUUACCUUCGACGGGGAAUAAAGCGGUAUUUACAACGUUUGGCGAAUCUCUGUCUAGGUAAUGUAUUUACAAUUCAAAGAACUAUUUUAUAUUGGUUUUACUUAUGGGAAGAAGUGUUUAUCAACAUGUUCUCAAAUAUUAUUCCUUAUUUUGAAAUUCACAUUAUUAUUUAAAUUUAAAGACAGAAGGAAAAAUAUAAGUUAUGCAUAUACUUUUGUAUUUUGUAUUAUAAUUAUAUUAGGUAGAGAUGCAACACAAUCACAAGGAUGCAACAUUGUUCAGCAACAAAAUUGCAUGGCAGUAGAAAUAGUUGCCAACGAGAAUAAUUUAUCUCCAGAUUACGAUGAAGUUCGUUUCUCUCAAUUAGUUCGUAAUAGUAAUGAUCGUGCGAGCCUACAAUCAAGUGGAGAUAGAACGAUAGGAACUCCUGGGGAGGGUAAAUUUGCACAUUUUGAGGGCGUUGGUAAUGCUAAAAAUGAACUUGCAGACUAUAAUCGGCUAUUGCUGAGGAAAAAGCAGAGCACAUGCAUUUUAAUUAAUACAGUGAUUUCGGAGGAUGAAGGAUAUGCUCUCUUACGAACGAAUGUCCAAAAAGAUACAAAUGCAGACGUCAGUCCAGACCCAAAAUAUUAACAUUUCAAUAUAAUAAUUUUGCAAGAACUAAUAUUUAACACAAUUUUCUUAACAAAUAUUUAUUACAAGGUAGAUCUUCAUAAAACUUAUGUAAUGACCGAACAAAAACAAAAGCAACGCAUGAAGUAGAAAUGAAGCAGCUGAAGGAAGUUGUUUUGUGUAUUUGAUGUUAUGUGAUGUAUAAGAAGUAUAUUAAGCAUUG